rnacentral:lncRNA from 10 species
GUCCUUUCAGGCACUGCCAGCAGUGAUGAGCGGGGUGAGGGUGGCUGGCGCGGCCCAGUGCUAUUCUGCCACAGCCAACGGCUGCAUUUCCUGAGCAAACGCUAGAAGCAAGUACAGUCCUAGGUGCUGGGGAUACAGUGGGGCAGAAUGCAGAGGUCUUCAAUCUCCUGUGGCCUCCCUUCUAGCAGGGGACUUCCAAGAAACAAGCAACAAAAAAGAGACAAUGUCACUGCAGCCUUGAACACCUGGGCUCAAGGGAUCCUUCCACUUCGGCUUCCCAAGUAGCUGGGACUAC